GCGGACGUCGCUUAGCCUGGUAGAGCGCCGGAUUUGAAAUCCGGUGGUAUUCGCCUCGGGAGUUCAAAUCUCUCCGUCCGCGCCA
rnacentral:tRNA from 4 species